UAAGGAAUAUUGGUCAAUGGACGAAAGUCUGAACCAGCCAUGCCGCGUGAAGGAUGACGGCCCUCUGGGUUGUAAACUUCUUUUAUCUGGGACGAAAAAAGAUCAUUCCUGAUCACUUGACGGUACCAGAGGAAUAAGCACCGGCUAACUCCGUGCCAGCAGCCGCGGUAAUACGGAGGGUGCAAGCGUUAUCCGGAUUUACUGGGUUUAAAGGGUGCGUAGGUGGAUUUGUAAGUCAGUGGUGAAAUCUCCGAGCUUAACUCGGAAACUGCCAUUGAUACUAUAAGUCUUGAAUUAUCUGGAGGUAAGCGGAAUAUGUCAUGUAGCGGUGAAAUGCUUAGAUAUGACAUAGAACACCAAUUGCGAAGGCAGCUUACUACGGAUUGACGCUGAUGGACGAAAGCGUGGGGAGCGAACA
rnacentral:rRNA from 1 species